UACGUAGGCAGCAAGCGUUGUUCGGAGUUACUGGGCGUAAGGGUGUGUAGGCGGUUUUCUAAGUCUGGUGUGAAAUCUCCCGGCUCAACUGGGAGGGUGCGCCGAAAACUGGAAGGCUAGAGUGCGGGAUGGGAGAGUGGAAUUCCUGGUGUAGCGGUGAAAUGCGUAGAUAUCAGGAGGAACACCUGUGGUGUAGACGGCUCUCUGGACCGCAACUGACGCUGAGACACGAAAGCGUGGGUAGCAAACAGG
rnacentral:rRNA from 1 species